CAGAGAGAGGUGGAGGUGGAGGUGGAGGUGGAGGUGGACCAAGACCAAGACCAAGACCAAGACCAAGACCAAGACCAAGACCAAGUAGAGUGAUCUCUGAUGAAAUUUGGGCGACUGUGGCGGACCAUGUGGUCAACCACGGUCUGACCUUGAGAGAGGCUGAGCAGAGAAUGCAGCCCAAUCUGAGCGUCCAUCAGCCGGAUGUUCCAAAAUGAGAAUAGAAUUGGAAGACAACCACCACGGACGGGGUGGUAGAAUUUACAGACGAACAGGAGGCUACCAAUGGUAGUUGAAAAUAAUGCCACAAGGCUGAGAAAUCCAACAACAGAUUAUUGAAAACCCUGCCAACAUCAGAGUGAGCUUAUCGACAAUAGCCUGCAUCCUUAAAAAAACACCAUCUCCAGUUGAAGAAAAUCUACAGAGUCCCAUUUGAAAGGGAUUUCCAAAGUGAAGCAUAAACGGUACGAAUAUGUGCAAGCCAUGGAUGAGGCCUGUGGUGACAUUCCAGCAGAGUCCUGUCAGGGGUGGAUGCCAGAUGAUAUUUCCCCCGUUGUCUGGCCAAGGAGAGCAUUGCCUGUGAUGAUGAAUCUGUGGCCGGACCAAAACAACAGACAUGACUGAUUUUGUUUUCUCAAUGGAUUUGUUUUUUGACUUAGAUUUGACAGUUUCUUAAUGGAUUUAACGUACAGUAGUACAAAUUGGACUAUUUUUCUUCCUUUGCAUAUGCAAAAUAUUGACUGUAUGUUUGCAUUUUUACUGUAUGUGUGCUUACAGUAUGCUGUCGUGCAUCAUGUUGAAAUAUAAAACACACAUUUUUGCAUUUGUGUUCAUUUGAGUACACACACAAUAUACAGUAUAAUAACAAAAUCAUAGUCUUUACACUGAAAUAGGUUCUGAUAGUAAUGUUUUGAAAAUGUCACAUUAGGGUGAUCUCGGUUGUUACUAAGUUAGAUUAAUUUGCUGUGUGUGUCUCAUUUGUAGGCAGAGUUUCAUUUUGAGUAGGGAGUACAUGAUUUUUGAUUGCUGUGUUUCAUUUUGCCAGAUCACUGUGGGGUUUGGUGAAAUUGGCUAACUGUUUUGAGUACCUGAGAUGUAGUUUCAGACAACGCGUGUUAGUUUUUCCCAAUUGUUUACAAGCACAAUUCCUGCUUUACACCUAGUUUUCAAUUCUAUAUCACACGUUUUGCAAAACACACAGUUCUCUACAUUAGGCAUAACAUUCAAAAUGUAAAUCUCUUUAGUCCUUUUGGAAAGCAACACCAUUCACAAUGCCAAGUUCUAUACACCAAAUGGCAACACCCACUCCUCACAGGUGUAAACACUAGUUGCUGAAUUGUUUACUGAGAAAUCAGAGCUUUAGCACGAUUAAAGGCCACAGAUGAGCUCUCCUGUUUUGUUGGAAAAUGGACGUCAAUG